AUCACUUCUUGGCCUUUUGGCUGAGAUCAAGUGUAGGAAUUAAUAUCAAAUGAUCAAUAUUUGUGUAACAUGUAUGUUAUCUACUAUGAUAUAACCUAAAUAAAGCACUUGGGGAUUAAAAAUGGUUAUACUAAGUUUUCUUUCCCCCAAAUUAG
rfam:Ictidomys tridecemlineatus contig111581, whole genome shotgun sequence.